CGAUAGCCUAGAUAGAGAAACUGAAGCACAGAGAGGUUAUGCAGCUUGCCCAGGUUCACACAGCUGGUAAGAACAGAGUCCAUGUUCUUAUCACUCAAGAUGUUCUGUUGGGGACAGUAUGCCAUGGUCUUGAGGUAUUGAUGUCCUCACUUGGAGUGCUUCUCUACUAAUGACCAACAGAAUGUUAACAAAUAUGAUGCAAGCGGAAGUUUCAAAAUACUUAUGUGCUUGGCUUAGCUUGCUCUUGCUCUCUGUUACAAUGAUGAAAAUAUGCCUGGGCUAGCCUGCUGGAAGAUGAAAGACACAUGUAGUAGAGCCAAGUUGCCCCAGUCAUCCUAGCCAAGGCCAUCCUAGGUCAGCCUAUAGCCAUUUGACUCCCAAACAGUUCCCUCCUGCUCUAGUAAAAUAAUUGAAGCUGAGCAUAUGGCUGCAUAGCAAGACUACAUUUUCCACCUACCUAUCAAUUAAGUGAGGCCAGAAGCCAUAGAAUGUGAGUGGAAAUGCAGUGUACCACGUCCUGAAUUGGGAUUUAAGACAUUAGGAUCGCCCCCUUCUCAGAUGAUCUGCUGCUGACCUCAGAUACCUACAGAGACUCUGCUGGUGCCUGUCAAAGCUGCUGUCACUUCCCACUCCCAAAAAAAGUGCCGCUGCUCUCUCUCAUCUGCUGAAGGUAGCACUGCUGGAAGUCUUGUAUGGAAGUGGAAGAUCUGAUGUCUUUGCUGAAUGUAUUAGCACCUCUGGUUGGCAAGGUUGCUAGUGUUCCACUCUGCUGAUGCAGGCACUGGUGGUGGCAUUGAUGUGAUAAAGACUUCAAAGCACCAAUAGGUUCUCUACUGAAGUGGAAAGGAUCUUUUUAUGUCUUUUGUCUUAUAUUUCUACCUGGGCUCCAAAGUCAUGCUUCCUGGUGUUGCCAGUGAGCAGGGAGAAUUUAGUGAAGAAGCUUUUUGCAGAGAUGACUAGGUGUCUGCUAAAAUUCCAUUAUGUAGAAUAAGUGCCAAGAAGUAGCCACACACACAUUAAAAAAAAAUUCUGAGCCCCUGUACCCUACCUUUGCAUUUAGUGGAGUCAUAGGACUAGCUCACACCCAUGUGAACAGAGCUGAUGUGUCUCAUUUCUGGGCCAAGGAGUUUAAGAAGUGGGGUGUGUCUCCUUUACAUUCUCUUUUUCCUCUUAUGCCAGCUCUAAUACCUCAAAGAAUGUCAGAAUAUGGGACAGAAGGAGCCAGGACAUCCACCUUGCACUGUUUGGGAGCAAGAAAUACAUUUUCUGGCCUGGGCACGGUGGCUCACGCCUGUAAUCCCAGGACUUUGGGAGGCUGAGGUGGGCAGAUUGCCUGAGCUCAGGAGUUUGCAACCAGCCUUGGCAACACAGGGAAACCCUAUCUCUACUAAAAUACAAAAAAUGAGCCAAGUGUGGCAGCAUGAGCCUGUAAUCCCAGCUACUCGGGAGGCUGAGGAAGGAGAAUUGCUUGAACCCAGGAGGCAGAGGUUGCAGGGAGCUGAGAUCAUCCACUGCACUCCAGCCUGGGCGACAGAGUGAGACUC